UCCGGCUUAUCACCGGCAGUCCCCUUAGAGUGCCCAACUAAAUGAUGGCAACUAAAGGCGAGGGUUGCGCUCGUUGCGGGACUUAACCCAACAUCUCACGACACGAGCUGACGACAGCCAUGCAGCACCUGUGUGCAGGUCCCCGAAGGGAAGGAAUCCAUCUCUGGAAACCGUCCUGCCAUGUCAAGGGCUGGUAAGGUUCUUCGCGUUGCGUCGAAUUAAGCCACAUGCUCCGCCGCUUGUGCGGGUCCCCGUCAAUUCCUUUGAGUUUUAGCCUUGCGACCGUACUCCCCAGGCGGGAUGCUUAAAGCGUUAGCGGCGCCACCGAAGAGCAAGCUCCCCGACGGCUAGCAUCCAUCGUUUACGGCGUGGACUAC
rnacentral:misc_RNA from 1 species